ACACAAGGCUCAAAUUGGGCCCUUUGACAGGAAACUGUUAAGGAGAACUUGGCUAUAUCGGUGAAACCCUGAACUUGUCGAAGGGUAAUACCGAGGGAAGACCGGUAAAAUUACCGGAACCCGUAGAGACUACACGCCGAGGUCCGCCAAAGGCGGACAUGAUAUAGUCCUACCCCUACAGUAAUGUAGAA
rnacentral:ncRNA from 1 species